GGAUGUGAGGGCGAUCUGGCUGUGACAUCUGUCACCCCACUGAUCGCCAGGGUUGACUGGGCUGAUCUGGCUAGCUUGGCAGGUGUCUCCUUCCUCCCUCACUGCUCCAUGUGUGUCCCUGCCGAAGAUGUGCACUUGGUCAAAGAGGACGAACUUUCCCGCUAGACGAGGACUGUUCUUUGGUCAAGGGUAUACAAGUAGCUGUGUUUCCCUGCUAGAAUCUCCAAAUAAAAAGAUAUGACAACUAAAUGUCUGAUUGGAUCCUGGACCAGAAAAAGGAUAUUAAUGGGAUGCUACCUU
rnacentral:snRNA from 1 species